GACGGCCAGUACACCUCCUUGGUGUACGACGCUUGCCGUGACGCCUUCGGCCACCUCUUGGGUACAGCAAGAGUUGCUGUGGCUUACCAGAACGAGCUCUAAGGUACAGCUAGCUAUAUAUGGGAAUAUCAAUUGCGUUUGUUUGUGAUUUUGGGCAGACAAAGCUUGUUGGGCAAAUGCUCUGUUACUCAGGCAAUUUCCAAUCGAACGAAUGCAAGAGUGAAGCCGAGGCAUAGAUUAUCAUCCUUUCUGCUAAAGGAAUCCCGGUACAUAUUCUCCUCCCUGAACCAAAGGGAAGAUAUUGGAACUUAUUGCCCUGGUAAUCAAAGCUGUUGCUUGGAUCCGUGUUGAGGAACCUCUGGGGUCUAAAUUCCAAGGGAUUGUCCCAGACACUUGAAUCUCUGUGUAUGGCCAAAACAUUGAGAAAAACAGUCGAACCUUUUGGUAUCUGAUAGCCACCAAUGGUGGUACAUUGUUUUGAACGCCGAGGCAGAAGAGGCACAACCGAGUGCAGGCGUAAUGUCUCCUUGAUCACAGCAUCUAAGUGAUGUAAUUUCGGCAAAUGAAACUCUUCAACCAACUGGUUCAACCCGACAAUGUCUCUUAGUUCUUCUUGAACUCUUCUCAUUUCUUCUGGGUGCUGCAUCAGUUCUGUCAUCACCCAUUCUAUCGUUGUUGCUGUGGUGUCCGUUCCACCCACCACAAUAUCCUGUUAAUCAUCAUAUAUGGCGGUAAUUUAUUGAUUCAAUGUAACUUAAUACUGAGACAAAUUACCACUACUCUUCCAUGCAAGGAAUAAGCCAAAAGUUAGAUUACUAUACCAU